rnacentral:rRNA from 1 species
GACGAACGCUGGCGGCGUGCUUAACACAUGCAAGUCGAACGGAAAGGCCCUGCUUGCAGGGUACUCGAGUGGCGAACGGGUGAGUAACACGUGGGUGAUCUGCCCUGCACUUCGGGAUAAGCCUUGGUAACUGGGUCUAAUACCGGAUAGGAGCCAUUUUUAGUGUGAUGGUUGGAACGUUUUUUCGGUGUGGGAUGAGCUCGAGGCCUAUCAGCUUGUUGGUGGGGUAAUGGCCUACCAAGGCGGCGACGGGUAGCCGGCCUGGGAGGGUGGACGGGCACAGUGGGACUGGGAUACGGCCCAGACCCCUACUGGAGGCAGCAGUGGGGAAUAUUGCACAAUGGGCGUAAGCCUGAUGCAGCGACGCCGCGUGGGGGAGGACGGUCUUCGGGUUGGAAACGCCUUUCUCUAGGGACGAAGCUUUUUGUGACGGUACCUAGAGAAGAAGCACCGGCUAACUACGUG